AGCGUACACGGUGGAUGCCCUGGCAGUCAGAGGCGAUGAAGGGCGUGCUAAUCUGCGAUAAGCGCCGGUAAGGUGAUAUGAACCGUUAUAACCGGCGAUACCCGAAUGGGGAAACCCAGUGUGACUCGUCACACUAUCAUUAACUGAAUCCAUAGGUUAAUGAGGCGAACCGGGGGAACUGAAACAUCUAAGUACCCCGAGGAAAAGAAAUCAACCGAGAUUCCCCCAGUAGCGGCGAGCGAACGGGGAGGAGCCCAGAGCCUGAAUCAGCAUGUGUGUUAGUGGAAGCGUCUGGAAAGGCGCGCGAUACAGGGUGACAGCCCCGUACACAAAAGCGCAUGUGCUGUGAGCUCGAUGAGUAGGGCGGGACACGUGGUAUCCUGUCUGAAUAUGGGGGGACCAUCCUCCAAGGCUAAAUACUCCUGACUGACCGAUAGUGAACCAGUACCGUGAGGGAAAGGCGAAAAGAACCCCGGCGAGGGGAGUGAAAAAGAACCUGAAACCGUGUACGUACAAGCAGUGGGAGCACAGGUUUACCUGUGUGACUGCGUACCUUUUGUAUAAUGGGUCAGCGACUUAUAUUCUGUAGCAAGGUUAACCGAAUAGGGGAGCCGGAGGGAAACCGAGUCUUAACCGGGCGUUAAGUUGCAGGGUAUAGACCCGAAACCCGGUGAUCUAGCCAUGGGCAGGUUGAAGGUUGGGUAACACUAACUGGAGGACCGAACCGACUAAUGUUGAAAAAUUAGCGGAUGACCUGUGGCUGGGGGUGAAAGGCCAAUCAAACCGGGAGAUAGCUGGUUCUCCCCGAAAGCUAUUUAGGUAGCGCCUCGUGAAUUCAUCUCCGGGGGUAGAGCACUGUUUCGGCUAGGGGGCCAUCCCGGCUUACCAACCCGAUGCAAACUGCGAAUACCGGAGAAUGUUAUCACGGGAGACACACGGCGGGUGCUAACGUCCGUCGUGAAGAGGGAAACAACCCAGACCGCCAGCUAAGGUCCCAAAGUCAUGGUUAAGUGGGAAACGAUGUGGGAAGGCCCAGACAGCCAGGAUGUUGGCUUAGAAGCAGCCAUCAUUUAAAGAAAGCGUAAUAGCUCACUGGUCGAGUCGGCCUGCGCGGAAGAUGUAACGGGGCUAAACCAUGCACCGAAGCUGCGGCAGCGACGCUUAUGCGUUGUUGGGUAGGGGAGCGUUCUGUAAGCCUGUGAAGGUGGCCUGUGAGGGUUGCUGGAGGUAUCAGAAGUGCGAAUGCUGACAUAAGUAACGAUAAAGCGGGUGAAAAGCCCGCUCGCCGGAAGACCAAGGGUUCCUGUCCAACGUUAAUCGGGGCAGGGUGAGUCGACCCCUAAGGCGAGGCCGAAAGGCGUAGUCGAUGGGAAACGGGUUAAUAUUCCCGUACUUGGUGUUACUGCGAAGGGGGGACGGAGAAGGCUAUGUUGGCCGGGCGACGGUUGUCCCGGUUUAAGCGUGUAGGUGUGUGUUCCAGGUAAAUCCGGUUCACUUUAACACUGAGGCGUGACGACGAGGCACUACGGUGCUGAAGCAACAAAUGCCCUGCUUCCAGGAAAAGCCUCUAAGCAUCAGGUAACAUCAAAUCGUACCCCAAACCGACACAGGUGGUCAGGUAGAGAAUACCAAGGCGCUUGAGAGAACUCGGGUGAAGGAACUAGGCAAAAUGGUGCCGUAACUUCGGGAGAAGGCACGCUGACACGUAGGUGAAGUGAUUUACUCAUGGAGCUGAAGUCAGUCGAAGAUACCAGCUGGCUGCAACUGUUUAUUAAAAACACAGCACUGUGCAAACACGAAAGUGGACGUAUACGGUGUGACGCCUGCCCGGUGCCGGAAGGUUAAUUGAUGGGGUCAGCGCAAGCGAAGCUCCUGAUCGAAGCCCCGGUAAACGGCGGCCGUAACUAUAACGGUCCUAAGGUAGCGAAAUUCCUUGUCGGGUAAGUUCCGACCUGCACGAAUGGCGUAAUGAUGGCCAGGCUGUCUCCACCCGAGACUCAGUGAAAUUGAACUCGCUGUGAAGAUGCAGUGUACCCGCGGCAAGACGGAAAGACCCCGUGAACCUUUACUAUAGCUUGACACUGAACAUUGAGCCUUGAUGUGUAGGAUAGGUGGGAGGCUUUGAAGUGUGGACGCCAGUCUGCAUGGAGCCGACCUUGAAAUACCACCCUUUAAUGUUUGAUGUUCUAACGUGGACCCGUGAUCCGGGUUGCGGACAGUGUCUGGUGGGUAGUUUGACUGGGGCGGUCUCCUCCUAAAGAGUAACGGAGGAGCACGAAGGUUGGCUAAUCCUGGUCGGACAUCAGGAGGUUAGUGCAAUGGCAUAAGCCAGCUUGACUGCGAGCGUGACGGCGCGAGCAGGUGCGAAAGCAGGUCAUAGUGAUCCGGUGGUUCUGAAUGGAAGGGCCAUCGCUCAACGGAUAAAAGGUACUCCGGGGAUAACAGGCUGAUACCGCCCAAGAGUUCAUAUCGACGGCGGUGUUUGGCACCUCGAUGUCGGCUCAUCACAUCCUGGGGCUGAAGUAGGUCCCAAGGGUAUGGCUGUUCGCCAUUUAAAGUGGUACGCGAGCUGGGUUUAGAACGUCGUGAGACAGUUCGGUCCCUAUCUGCCGUGGGCGCUGGAGAACUGAGGGGGGCUGCUCCUAGUACGAGAGGACCGGAGUGGACGCAUCACUGGUGUUCGGGUUGUCAUGCCAAUGGCACUGCCCGGUAGCUAAAUGCGGAAGAGAUAAGUGCUGAAAGCAUCUAAGCACGAAACUUGCCCCGAGAUGAGUUCU
rnacentral:rRNA from 1 species